rnacentral:rRNA from 1 species
AACGAACGCUGGCGGCAGGCUUAACACAUGCAAGUCGAACGCGUGUAGCAAUACACGAGUGGCGCACGGGUGAGUAACGCGUGGAUAUCUGCCUUUUGGUUCGGAAUAACUCCGGGAAACUGGAGCUAAUACCGGAUGGUUCCUACGGGAUAAAGAUUUAUCGCCAAAAGAUGAGUCCGCGUACGAUUAGCUAGUUGGUGAGGUAAUGGCUCACCAAGGCGACGAUCGUUAGCUGGUCUGAGAGGACGAUCAGCCACACUGGGACUGAGACACGGCCCAGACUCCUACGGGAGGCAGCAGUGGGGAAUAUUGGACAAUGGGGGCAACCCUGAUCCAGCCAUGCCGCGUGAGUGAUGAAGGCCUUCGGGUUGUAAAGCUCUUUUGGCGGGGACGAUGAUGACGGUACCCGCAGAAUAAGCCCCGGCUAACUUCGUGCCAGCAGCCACGGU